AGUGAACGCUGGCGGUAGGCCUAACACAUGCAAGUCGAACGGCAGCACAGUAAGAGCUUGCUCUUACGGGUGGCGAGUGGCGGACGGGUGAGGCAUACAUCGGAAUCUACUUUUUCGUGGGGGAUAACGUGGGGAAACUUACGCUAAUACAGCAUACGACCUACGGGUGAAAGCAGGGGAUCUUCGGACCUUGCGCGAUUGAAUGAGCCGAUGUCGGAUUAGCUAGUUGGCGGGGUAAAGGCCCACCAAGGCGACGAUCCGUAGCUGGUCUGAGAGGAUGAUCAGCCACACUGGAACUAAGACACGGGCCAGACUCCUACGGGAGGCAGCAGUGGGGAAUAUUGGACAAUGGGCGCAAGCCUGAUCCAGCCAUACCGCGUGGGUGAAGAAGGCCUUCGGGUUGUAAAGCCCUUUUGUUGGGAAAGAAAAGCAGCAGGUUAAUACCCCGCUGUUCUGACGGUACCCAAAGAAUAAGCACCGGCUAACUUCGU
rnacentral:rRNA from 1 species